AUUGAACGCUGGCGGCAGGCCUAACACAUGCAAGUCGAGCGGAUGAUGGGAGCUUGCUCUCUGAUUUAGCGGCGGACGGGUGAGUAAUGCCUAGGAAUCUGCCUGGUAGUGGGGGAUAACGUUCCGAAAGGAACGCUAAUACCGCAUACGUCCUACGGGAGAAAGCGGGGGAUCUUCGGACCUCGCGCUAUCAGAUGAGCCUAGGUCGGAUUAGCUAGUUGGUGAGGUAAAGGCUCACCAAGGCGACGAUCCGUAACUGGUCUGAGAGGAUGAUCAGUCAAACUGGAACUGAGACACGGUCCAGACUCCUACGGGAGGCAGCAGUGGGGAAUAUUGGACAAUGGGCGAAAGCCUGAUUCAGCCAUGCCGCGUGUGUGAAGAAGGUCUUCGGAUUGUAAAGCACUUUAAGUUGGGAGGAAGGGUUGUAGAUUAAUACUCUGCAAUUUUGACGUUACCGACAGAAUAAGCACCGGCUAACUUCGUGCCAGCAGCCGCCGUAACAC
rnacentral:rRNA from 1 species